rnacentral:lncRNA from 7 species
UACAGGAGGGAGGAGGAAAGUCUCCUGCAUUUAUUUCUUCCUGCAGUUAAAUGUGGAUUGGUCACAACCCAGCAGACUCUGAUCUGAACAACCAAAGGGUUCAGGAUCUUACCCAGUCUGAACAGAAGGCUUACUCCCAUUUACCUGAAAAUGAAAUCAGGACUAUAACUGCAUCACCAUGGAUACAGGAUUUCAGGCGCCACAGAAUCAGAUCAAACCAUCAUAUGAUGAAAGCAGAAAAAUCUCCGAUUAAGAAGGAUUAAAAAACUGAGUAAACUGUUGGAAAAGGCCAGCAACAGCGAAUUCUGUGGAGUAGAAACCAAUGCAAGAGAUUCAGUCUUCAAUGCCAUCUUGACCCAUAAGUGGCGCUGCUGACCAGCAACACUGCUGUUCUGAAUCCCAUCCCACGUGUGGCUGUUUUCCAGGGAGCAGGGAAGAGGCAGAGCAGGGAAAGCAACACAGCAUGAUGUUUGCAGACCAACUGUGAAGGACUGCAUCAGUAUUUUGGCCAAGUCAGCUGGAUGACACUCAGCACCCCUUUUACUUCUGCUUUCUUGCAGGAAUGGAUAGCAGUUUAAGCAGUUACUACCCCUGCAGGUUUCUUCUCAGCCUCCUUUGGCAGUUAUGGAUAACUUCAGCAGUGCUUUGAGGUAACAGCACUAACUGUGCAUUGAAGUGGAACGGGAGCUCUACCACAUUCUCUCAUCUUUGCAAUGACAGCCUCUAACUCUCCUGUUGGUCACUCCUUAAACACAUCUACCAAUUUCACCAACUUUCAUCUAGCUUACAUGUCCAGGGACUUCCAGUGUAUUCCAGGAGAAACUAUUAAGUCUCUCCUUCAUAUUCAUGCUCACUUCUAUCUCCUGUCUCUAAUCUCUCUCCCUCUCUUGUUUCUUUUGUUGGUGUUCUGCAAUUAUUGUCUGUCAUGUGCUUUUGCCAAGGAUCAGGCUGCAGAGAACUAUAAAAAUAGAGAGAAAAAAACAAACUAUCAGAUUUCUGCAAUGUCAAAAGGAUCAGUCAGUAGGUUGUGUGUAGCACUAUCAUUUUUCCUUGGCAUUACAGCAUAUGAAUAGAGAUAAACGUCACAUUAGUAAAUGUCAAAUAAUUUCCUGAACAUGCAUUUGCCAGAUUU